rnacentral:sRNA from 1 species
AAUCCAAAUCCAAUUCUGUAAAUUGGAGAAUAACGAUAAAGGACUUGGGAAUAACUCUGCCAAAUUUCGUUACCUUUUACCACGAUUUGAUAUGACGAAACUGAUUUCUCCCAAACCCUAACGAUUCUGCUCGUUCUCCUUUUCUCUCUUUUUCUCCUUUAUAAAACGAAAAGUGGCUAACCAAAGCCCUAAUUUCGAGUUUACUUCUUUUAUAGGCAUACUCUAAGGUUUCCAAUUAACCCAAUCAAUUAAACCGGAUGAUUUAAAAACAAACUCUAACUGAUUUUCCGGUUCACGGGCGUUACAAAGAGGAAGUUAGAAUGAUGAAGAUGGAAAUGAACAAAGAGAGGAUGGAAAAGAACAAAGAGAGAAGAAAUGAAGAUGAUAAUCGUUUUUUCCUAUGGUUGUUCA